rnacentral:rRNA from 1 species
UUACUGGGCGUAAAGGGUGUGUAGCUGGUUUAGUAAGUCAGAUGUGAAAGCGUAUGGCUCAACCAUAGAAUGGCAUUUGAAACUGCCANACUGGAGUACGGUAGAGGGUGACGGAAUUCCUAGUGUAGAGGUGAAAUUCGUAGAUAUUAGGAGGAACACCGGUGGCGAAGGCGGUCACCUGGACCUGUACUGACGCUAAGACACGAAAGCGUGGGGAGCAAACAGGAUUAGAUACCCUGGUAGUCCACGCUGUAAACGAUGGAUAUUAGAUGUUGGAAGUAUUUGACCCUUUCAGUAUCAAAGCUAACGCGUUAAAUAUCCCGCCUGGGGACUACGGUCGCAAGAUUAAAACUCAAAGAAAUUGACGGGGGCCCGCACAAGCGGUGGAGCAUGUGGUUCAAUUCGAGGCAACGCGAAAAACCUUACCUGGGCUUGACAUCCCUAGACAACCCUAGAGAUAGGGCUUUCUCUUCGGAGACUAGGUGACAGGUGCUGCAUGGCUGUCGUCAGCUCGUGUCGUGAGAUGUUGGGUUAAGUCCCGCAACGAGCGCAACCCUUACCUUUAGAUGCCAUCAUUAAGUUGGGCACUCUAAAGGGACUGCCGGUGUUAAACCGGAGGAAGGUGGGGAUGACGUCAAGUCCUCAUGGCCUUUAUGUCCAGGGCCACACACGUGCUACAAUGGCUGGUACAAAGGGAGGCUAACCCGCGAGGGGGCGCUAAUCCCAAAAAGCCAGUCCCAGUUCGGAUUGGAGUCUGCAAUUCGACUCCACGAAGCUGGAAUCGCUAGUAAUCGCGGAUCAGCAUGCCGCGGUGAAUGCGUUCUCGGGCCUUGUACACACCGCCCGUCACGCCAUGGAAGUUGGUUGAACCAGAAGUCACUGGCUACUCUUCGGAGGAGCAGGUGCCUAAG